UGGAUAUUCACCAGAGAUCUCUUUUUCUUCCAUUUACUUGUUGUUUCAUAGAGCCUUUUUACUCUCCUGAAUCAGUCUCUUGUGGAAGGAAGGACAGAAGGAGGGGCAGAGCUGAGCAGGAGUCUGUACCAGCCUCCUGAGCCUUGCAGACUAGAAAUGAGGCACCACCUGGCAGCUAUUGAUAUCAAGUUAGGAGAAUGAAGAUGAAUGGUCCAGAGGAAUAUUAAAUUACACGGUUUCCUUCCCAAAGCACCUGUCAAGAGAUGGAUGGGCACUCCCUCUGUUUCUGGAAGCCACCACUGCUGAAUCAGAAUCAGCUGGUUAUGUUGGAAUACAGAAGUAAUACCCAGAGGGAAACCUGUGCUCUGCAGAGCCUGACUUCACAAGACCCUGUGAGCAGGAGUGUCAAGAGACAAGCUCUCAGCAAUCUGCCUUGUUCUGGAUGUGCAACUGCUUUAGGAAGUGUCAAGUAGUAUGUUCCUUCGUGGUCUUUCAAGCAUUUGGUAGAUAUUUUGAUGGUGUUCUGCUAUUUAAGGUGGAAUAUUUACAUCCUCUAUGAUAAAUGAAAGAAUUCACUAAUAACCG